AAGCGAUAUCAUUGAGGACCUCUUAAGAAUUAGAGGAGUAUCAGAACAAAUAAAUCUAAAAAAUCUUGAAUCACACAUAGAGGAAUUCUUUAAGCAUUUGAAGGUAGAAUGGGACUCCAGAAUUCCCAUAAUGGAAAGAUGCCAUAGAAUGAACAAACCUAAGGGUGUCCCAGAACAUCUUCCAAAAGAUGUAUUGAUAAGCUGCGCCUCCUCCAAAAUUAAGUCGCAAAUUCUAAGAGCCGUAAGAAGUAAUAAAUGUGCAGAAGAAUACGAAACACUGAAAAUAUUCCAGUAUCUGUCAUGGCCGACCAGACAAAAAAGGAAGACCUUCUCAGACGGCACACUAAUUCUAAGACAGAACAAUAUUAAUUAUCAAUGGGGAUUCCCAACAAGAAUUAUCAUAUCUCACGAAGGGAACACUACCACCAUCAAUUAUGCAGAAGACCUAAGAAGCUGGUUAAGCAAAAAUAACUUCAAUCACUAGUCAACAAAGAGGGAGGUCCCAAAUAUUAGAGGGGAGAGAAAAGAAAAAAAGGUACUAGCGACACCUAACCUCUUAACAAGGGAAAAUGGAAAAAGAAUCAAACAUGAAAUAAGAGAAGGGAAUUCCCCUUCUAGCACAAGGGGAUAUCAGGGAGAUACAAAAAGUAUAACUAAGAAGCUAGGGAAACAAAGAAAUGAAAAUAGAAAAAUGUUGAACAUUUUAGAACAUUGAUUAAACAGUCACUCAAUAAGAUAAGCAACGCACAAAACGGAAGAAAAUUAUCUUCCUAUUAAGUAUACACAAAUUAGAAUAAAAUGAUAUAAUGUACACUAAAGAUUACAUGAAACAAAGGAAUUUAUAAAUAUAUAGAAGGGCAGAUACUCACACAAGAAGGAAAAGAAAGAAAGGGGUAAGGGAAAAGAGUGAUAUAUUCAAGAAUAACACAAGUUUUGUAAAAUGAAAAUGUAAAACAAUAAUCAGUUAAAACACUUUAGCUGAGAAUAUGCAGGGGGUCGAUUUACAAGGCUCUCCCUAUUUCUAUACACAUUAGGAACAUUAAUGCGUACAUG